AGAUUUAUCAUUACUCUGACAGCUCACUCCACUUUCACAUAUGGCUAAAGUCAGUUUUAGCCAAGUCAGAUUUAUAAUCGGCCCUUUAAGACUGUGAUAAAUGUGGUUUGACGAUAGCAGUUUAUCAGUCAGUAAGAGGCUUUACAAAAGAAAUAUGGUGUACCCCAA